rnacentral:rRNA from 1 species
UCGAGAAUCUUCGGCAAUGGACGCAAGUCUGACCGAGCGAUGCCGCGUGCGGGAUGAAGGCCCUCGGGUUGUAAACCGCUGUCAGUUGUUAGGAAAUCCCAUGGGGUUCUCUCCAUGGGUUGACCGAUCUUCAGAGGAAGGACGGGCUAAGUUCGUGCCAGCAGCCGCGGUAACACGAACCGUCCAAACGUUAUUCGGUAUCACUGGGCUUAAAGCGUGCGUAGGCGGCCAGGAAGGUCAGAGGUGAAAUCCCACGGCUCAACCGUGGAACUGCCUUUGAAACCACUUGGCUCGAGGAAGACAGGGGUGAUGGGAACUUAUGGUGGAGCGGUGAAAUGCGUUGAUAUCAUAGGGAACACCGGUGGCGAAAGCGCAUCACUGGGUCUUUUCUGACGCUCAGGCACGAAAGCUAGGGUAGCGAACGGGAUUAGAUACCCCCGUAGUCC